ACCGGCGACUGAUAAUACGCGUCGAAUUAUUUUUACUACCAUUUAUUUGAAGGAGUGUGUUGUGGCCGUCGCCGCCGCGCCGCCGCCCCAAAAUCGCAAGGAGCCCAGUAUUGAUCUGCUACGCUUGUAGAAUCACGACCACGAGUAGCUGUGUGAGCAAAACUAUCUAUUACACACUGAGGGUAGAUGUCACCCCAAAAAUUUAGCUCCCAUUUUAUAAAUCGGAAGACUAGGGGCUGGCUAAUAAAUUCCUAAAGUUCACAUUUAUUCAUAUUUAGAGUGUAUUGUAGUUACCCCUGUAGACUGCGACUAAAAGUCAUGAAUAUGUGAGUCAUUGUAAGCCAGACUACAGAGUUAGUCAACGUCGCACUCGAUAUUUUUUAGACAGAAAUUUAGCACUUUAUAACAAUUUUCGCCAUUUAAUCUGCC
rnacentral:lncRNA from 1 species